rnacentral:rRNA from 1 species
ACUACGGGUGGCUGCAGUGAGGAAUAUUGGUCAAUGGGCGCAAGCCUGAACCAGCCAAGUCGCGUGAGGGAUGACGGUCCUAUGGAUUGUAAACCUCUUUUGUCGGGGAGCAAGGCCCGCCACGUGUGGCGGGAAGGAGAGUACCCGAAGAAAAAGCAUAGGCUAACUCCGUGCCAGCAGACGCGGUAAUACGGAGGAUGCGAGCGUUAUCCGGAUUUACUGGGUGUAACGGGAGCGUAGACGGUGCAGCAAGCAUGAUGUGAAAUGCCGGGGCUUAACCCCGGAACUGCUGUGGAAACUGUGCAGCUAGAGUGCAGGAGAGGUAAGUGGAAUUCCUAGUGUAGCGGUGAAAUGCGUAGAUAUUAGGAGGAACACCAGUGGCGAAGGCGGCUUACUGGACUGUAGCUGACGUUGAGGCUCGAAAGCGUGGGGAGCAAACAGGAUUAGAUACCCCUGUAGUC